UACGUAGGUGACAAGCGUUGUCCGGAUUUACUGGGCGUAAAGAGCGCGCAGGCGGUCGAUCAAGUCGGUUGUGAAAGCCCCCGGCUCAACUGGGGAGGGUCAUUCGAUACUGAUCGACUCGAAGGCAGGAGAGGGUAGUGGAAUUCCCGGUGUAGUGGUGAAAUGCGUAGAUAUCGGGAGGAACACCAGUGGCGAAGGCGACUUCCUGGCCUGUUCUUGACGCUGAGGCGCGAAAGCUAGGGGAGCAAACGGG
rnacentral:rRNA from 1 species